rnacentral:rRNA from 2 species
AACCUUGGCUAUANUGCAGUCGACGAACUCUGGUAUUGAUGGUGCUUGCAUCAUGAUUUACAUGGCGUUUGAGUGAGAACUGGUGAGUAACACGUGGGAAACCUGCCCAGAAGCGGGGGAUAACACCUGGAAACAGAUGCUAAUACCCAUAACAACUUGGACCGCAUGGUCCAUGGCGAGUUUGAAGUUCGGCUAUCACUUUUGGAUGGUCCCGCGGGUAUUAGCUAGAUGGGAGUAACGGCUCACCAUGGCAAUGAUAGCAUUCUUAAGCCGACCUGAGAGGGUAAUCGGCCACAUUGGGACUGAGACACGGCCCAAACUCCUACGGGAGGCAGCAGUAGGGAAUCUAAAAUUCCACAAUGGACGAAAGUCUGAUGGAGCAACGCCGCGUGAGUGAAGAAGGGUUUCGGCUCGUAAAACUCUGUUGUUAAAGAAGAACAUAUCUGAGAGUAACUGUUCAGGUAUUGACGGUAUUUAACCAGAAAGCCACGGCUAACUACGUGCCAGCAGCCGCGGUAAUACGUAGGUGGCAAGCGUUGUCCCCGAGUGUAGGAUUUAUUGGGCGUAAAGCGAGCGCAGGCGGUUUUUUAAGUCUGAUGUGAAAGCCUUCGGCUCAACCGAAGAAGUGCAUCGGAAACUGGGAGAACACCAAACUUGAGUGCAGAAGAGGACAGUGGAACUCCAUGCGGUGAAAUGCGUAGAUAUAUGGAAGUGGCGAAGGCGGCUGUCUGGUCUGUAACUGACGCUGAGGCUCGAAAGUAUGGGUAGCAAACAGGAUUAGGAAUCU